rnacentral:rRNA from 1 species
ACGGGAGGCAGCAGUGGGGAAUAUUGGGCAAUGGGCGAAAGCCUGACCCAGCAACGCCGCGUGAAGGAAGAAGGUCUUCGGAUUGUAAACUUCUUUUAUAAGGGACGAAGAAAGUGACGGUACCUUAUGAAUCAGCCACGGCUAACUACGUGCCAGCCGCCGCGGUAAUACGUAGGUGGCAAGCGUUAUCCGGAUUUACUGGGUGUAAAGGGCGCGUAGGCGGGGAUGCAAGUCAGAUGUGAAAUCUAUGGGCUUAACUCAUAAACUGCAUUUGAAACUGUAUCUCUUGAGUGCUGGAGAGGUAAGCGGAAUUCCUAGUGUAGCGGUGAAAUGCGUAGAUAUUAGGAGGAACACCAGUGGCGAAGGCGGCUUACUGGACUGUAACUGACGUUGAGGCUCGAAAGCGUGGGGAGCAAACAGGAUUAGAUACCCUGGUA